CAAGAAAUAGAAAUUGUUAUUCAGUAGUUAAAUAAUUAAGAAGUAAAUCUACGAAUCUAUAGUUUAACUGUUGUCAUUCUAAUGUGAAGAAACUAUUAACUUAGUAAAUACAUGAUUCCAAUGAAUCCUAGAAUUGUUAAUAUCAAGUUCAAUAUGAUGUCUUCUGGCGUUUUAAUGGACGAAUAAUGAGAAGAGCGAACCAUCGCGAUAAUUGCACGAUUCAGGCAUAGCAGAUAGCGGAACAUAAUAUUCCAUACAAGCGGCCCAGUGAAUACCUAUUGAAAUAACUAUGGUUGUUUCUAAAAUUUUAUACACCUGGAAACUUAUUCUGUACACCUGAAAUCACGAGGUCGUUUCAAUAUUGAACUAACAUCGUGAAGUCUACGAAAGUAAACGAUGAUAUUGCGAAUGCGCAAUAUCUUCAUCAUGUUGAACGUGGAGCAGUACCAAAUUGCCUUGGGUAGAAGUACAUCAAAUACUCCUAUAGGUAAUACGGAUCAAGAACUACAACUUUUGUCCCAUAGUCGUAGUAGCCCGUGAAGAACCACGUUAUAAUAUCGCAUACGAAUACUAUGUUCAUUGUGUCA